rnacentral:rRNA from 1 species
CUCAAAUUUGAAAUCUGGCCUCGGCCCGAGUUGUAAUUUGCAGAGGAUGCUUUUGGUGCGGUGCCUUCCGAGUUCCCUGGAACGGGACGCCACAGAGGGUGAGAGCCCCGUAUGGUCGGACACCAAUCCUGUGUAAAGCUCCUUCGACGAGUCGAGUAGUUUGGGAAUGCUGCUCUAAAUGGGAGGUAAAUCUCUUCUAAAGCUAAAUACCGGCCAGAGACCGAUAGCGCACAAGUAGAGUGAUCGAAAGAUGAAAAGCACCUUGAAAAGGGGGUUAAACAGUACGUGAAAUUGUUGAAAGGGAAGCACUUGUGACCAGACUUGGGCCGGGCGGCUCAUCAGGGGUUCUCCCCUGUGCAUUCCGCCCGGUACAGGCCAGCAUCGGUUCUUACCGGGGGAUAAGAACGGCAGGAACGUGGCUCCCUCUCGGGGGAGUGUUAUAGCCUGCCGUACGAUACCCUGGCGGGGACCGAGGUUCGCGCUUCCGCAAGGAUGCUGGCGUAAUGGUUACUAGUGACCCGUCUUGAAACACGGACCAAGGAGUCGUCCAUUAGAGCGAGCGUUUGGGUGUAAAACCCGCACGCGUAAUGAAAGUGAAAUUAGGUGAGAGCUUCGGCGCAUCAUCGACCGAUCCUGAUGUUCUCGGAUGGAUUUGAGUAAGAGUUUUAACGGACGGACCCGAAAGACAGUGAACUAUGCUUGUAUAGGGUGAAGCCAGAGGAAACUCUGGUGGAGGCUCGCAGCGGUUCUGACGUGCAAAUCGAUCGUCA